rnacentral:lncRNA from 1 species
GGAGUUUGGGUGGAAUUUUUGAGGAUUUUGGGGGGGGUUUCAGGCUCUUUUUUGGUGAUAUUUGGGAAUUUUUGGUUGGAAUUUCGGGGAUUUUUGGGCUGAUUUUCCCCUGAUUUUAGGGUGCAAUUUUUGGGUGGAAUUUGGGAAUUUUUGGGUGGAAUUGUGGGGAUUUUUAGGGUCAUUUUCCCUGAUUUUGGGGUGGAGUUUGGGUGGAAUUUUUGGGUAUUUUAGGGUGCAAUUUUUGGGUGGAAUUUGGGAAUUUUUGGGUGGAAUUGUGGGGAUUUUUAGGGUCAUUUUCCCUGAUUUUGGGGCAGAAUUUGGGCGGAAUUCUGGGAUAUUUUCGGGUGCAAUUUUUGGGUGGAUUUUUGGUCAUUUCUGGUCAUUUUUUUUGCCUAAUUUCCCCCUUUUUUCCCCCCUUUUGCAGCCCCCCACCUCCCCCAGCUGCUGCGGGACCCCUUCGGCCGCGGCGUUGCCCGGAAUUUUUCCCUGGAGCUUUUCCGGAAAGAUCGGCCGGGCUGGGAGCGGCUCCAGAGGGGGGUGGGGCCAAAGGGGCGUGGCCUGAAGCUCUGACCACGCCCACAAAAAAAGCCACACCCCUAAUUUGCAUAUUUGUAAUUAAAAUUUUCCUUUUUUUGGGUUAAUUUCCGUCGAUUUUUUGGGUUGAUUUUGGCGAAUUUAAGGCGGGAUCUUCUCGAUGCCAAUCAGCGUUAAUUAAUGAAUGUUAAUUAAUUAAUGAGGGUUAAUUAAUUGGGGGAGGGGC